CAGCCAUGCCGCGUGAGUGAUGAAGGCCUUAGGGUCGUAAAGCUGCCUGUGAAGAUAAUGACGGUAGCAGGUAAAGAAACCCCGGCUAACUCCGUGCCAGCAGCCGCGGUAAUACGGAGGGGGUUAGCGUUGUUCGGAAUUACUGGGCGUAAAGCGCACGUAGGCGGACUGGAAAGUUGGGGGUGAAAUCCCGGGGCUCAACCCCGGAACUGCCUCCAAAACUAUCAGUCUAGAGUUCGAGAGAGGUGAGUGGAAUUCCGAGUGUAGAGGUGAAAUUCGUAGAUAUUCGGAGGAACACCAGUGGCGAAGGCGGCUCACUGGCUCGAUACUGACGCUGAGGUGCGAAAGUGUGGGGAGCAAACAGGAUUAGAUACCCUGGUAGUCCACACCGUAAACGAUGAAUGCCGGGUAGCAUCUAUUCGGUACACACCUAACGGAU
rnacentral:rRNA from 2 species